rnacentral:lncRNA from 1 species
UCAUCCCAUCCGGUCCUGGAGCUUUCUCCGGAUGCAUCAUGAAUAGUGCUUGUCUGACUUCUUCCUCUGUUGCUAACCGCAGUAGCAUUUGAUUCAUCUGUGGAGAAAUUGUUGGUCCUAUCUCAUUCAGAAAGCUAUCAAACUCAGUAGGAUUGGUAGAAUCAAACAAACCCUCAAAAUAAUCUACCGCCACCUUUUCAACACCAUUCUC